rnacentral:lncRNA from 1 species
AUUAUCCGAUUCAUCUGAAAAUUCCAGGGCAGAUAGAUCGUGACCUGAUCAACAAUUUUAUUUCCUGUCAGAUUUGCUCUAAAUGCUUUGGUUUUUGAGUUAUAAGCCAAAAACUGCAUUUUACCCCUAUGUUCUAUUUUUAGCCAUGGCGGCCAUCUUGGUUCGUUGGCCGGGUCACCGAACACAUUUUUUAAACUAAAUACCCCAAUGAUGAUUAUGGCCAAGUUUGGUUAAAUUUGGCCCAGUAGUUUCAGAGGAGAAGAUUUUUCUAAAAGAUUACUAAGAUUUACGAAAAAUGGUUAAAAAUUGACUAUAAAGGGCAAUAACUCCUAAAGUGGUCAACUGACCAUUUUGGUCAUGUUGACUUAUUUGUAGAUCUUACUUUGCUGAACAUUAUUGCUGUUUACAGUUUAUCUCUAUCUAUAAUAAUAUUCAAGAUAAUAACCAAAAACAGCAAAAUUUCCUUAAAAUUACCAUUUCAGGGGCAGCAACCCAACAACGGAAUGUCCGAUUCAUCUGAAAAUUUCAAGGCAGAUAAAUCUUGACCUGAUGAACAAUUUUACCGCUGUCAGAUUUGCUCUAAAUGCUUGGGUUUUUGAGUUAUAAGCCAAAAACUGCAUUUUACCCCCAUGUUCUAUUUUUAGCCAUGGUGGCCAUCUUGGUUGGUUGGGCGGGGCACCGGACACAUUUUUUAAACUAGAUACCCCAAUGAUGAUUAUGGCUAGGUUUGGUUAAAUUUGGCCCAGUAGUUUCAGAGGAGAAGAUUUUUCUAAAAGAUUACUAAGAUUUACGAAAAAUGGUUAAAAAUUGACUAUAAAAGGCAAUAACUCCUAAAGUGGUCAACUGACCAUUUUGGUCAUGUUGACUUAUUUGUAGAUCUUACUUUGCUGAACAUUAUUGCUGUUUACAGUUUAU